CUGGUUUGGCUGUCUUUGAUAGUGUCAUUGAUGUGUUCAGUGACAUGAACGUGUACAAGUUGUCAGAGGAAGUAGAGAAGCAGAAGAAGGUAGUGUUCUGCCUGAGUGAGGCCAAAAGCGUCAUCCAGGAAGAGGCAGGGAGACCCUGGCAGGUGAUGUGGGCCCACCGUGGGCAUCACCUACUCAUCAUUGUCAUACAACAACUGCAGCUAUGAGCUCUAGGAUGUGGCCUAACAGACCAAGGAGAGGAAGAUGUGUGAUCCCCUUAAGAGCAAAAGAUGCUAUCAAGAGGAAGCUGACAUGAAUCAAGCAUAAAUUACAAUCAAGCCACUUGGAGGAAGCCAAGGCCAAUUGCAUCCUGGCAGAGAAGCUAGGAGGCAACACUGUUAUCUCCCUGGAAGGCAAGGCUC
rnacentral:lncRNA from 1 species